GACGAACGCUGGCGGCGUGCUUAACACAUGCAAGUCGAACGGAAAGGCCCUGCUUUUGUGGGGUGCUCGAGUGGCGAACGGGUGAGUAACACGUGAGUAACCUGCCCUUGACUUUGGGAUAACUUCAGGAAACUGGGGCUAAUACCGGAUAGGAGCUCCUGCUGCAUGGUGGGGGUUGGAAAGUGUCGGCGGUUGGGGAUGGACUCGCGGCUUAUCAGCUUGUUGGUGGGGUAGUGGCUUACCAAGGCUUUGACGGGUAGCCGGCCUGAGAGGGUGACCGGCCACAUUGGGCCUGAGAUACGGCCCAGACUCCUACGGGAGGCAGCAGGGGGGAAUAUUGCACAAUGGGCGGAAGCCUGAUGCAGCAACGCCGCGUGCGGGAUGACGGCCUUCGGGUUGUAAACCGCUUUCGCCUGUGACGAAGCGUGAGUGACGGUAAUGGGUAAAGAAGCACCGGCUAACUACGUG
rnacentral:rRNA from 1 species